UACGAAGGGGCUAGCGUUGUUCGGAUUUACUGGGCGUAAAGCGCACGUAGGCGGGUCGUUAAGUCAGGGGUGAAAUCCCGGAGCUCAACUCCGGAACUGCCUUUGAUACUGGCGACCUUGAGGCUGGAAGAGGUUAGUGGAAUUCCCAGUGUAGAGGUGAAAUUCGUAGAUAUUGGGAAGAACACCAGUGGCGAAGGCGGCUUCUGGCCUGUCUUGACGCUGAGGCGCGAAAGCUAGGGGAGCAAACGGG
rnacentral:rRNA from 1 species